GAACUUUCCAGAGAUGGAUUGGUGCCUUCGGGAACUGUGAGACAGGUGCUGCAUGGCUGUCGUCAGCUCGUGUUGUGAAAUGUUGGGUUAAGUCCCGCAACGAGCGCAACCCUUAUCCUUUGUUGCCAGCGGUCCGGCCGGGAACUCAAAGGAGACUGCCAGUGAUAAACUGGAGGAAGGUGGGGAUGACGUCAAGUCAUCAUGGCCCUUACGACCAGGGCUACACACGUGCUACAAUGGCGCAUACAAAGAGAAGCGACCUCGCGAGAGCAAGCGGACCUCAUAAAGUGCGUCGUAGUCCGGAUUGGAGUCUGCAACUCGACUCCAUGAAGUCGGAAUCGCUAGUAAUCGUGGAUCAGAAUGCCACGGUGAAUACGUUCCCGGGCCUUGUACACACCGCCCGUCACACCAUGGGAGUGAGUUGCAAAAGAAGUAGG
rnacentral:rRNA from 1 species